ACACGGACCAAGGAGUCUAGAAUGCGCGCGAGUCAAAGGGUUGGCUAAACCCCAAGGCGAAACGAAAGUGAUACUUUUCAAAAAGGGCCGAUCCGGUUCGCGCUGGAGAGUUAGGGGAUGUUGGGCUUGAGGAGCGCGCGCGCGGGGUUCGUCCUCGCGCGCGUUUCUUCUCUUCCCUCUCCCUUAGUUCGCUCUCCUCGCGAUUCGUCUCAAAGCUAUGAGGACGGCGCAGGCCCGGGGCUCGCCAACGCUUCCUCCCCGUCGUUAAUGCUCGGUCGUUCGUUUUCUCGUUCGUCUGGGUGCGGCGAGGCUGUCGAGGCCUCCUCGCUCUCGCUCGUCGCUCCUCUCCCGAUCCCGGGGGAUGGUUGCGGCGGGCGGGUCGGGGAGUCAACCUCCGAUGGUUUCUCGUCGCGCAUCGCUUACGAGGCGGCGGCUAGCUGGCGCGGGACGGGCGGCGGGUUCUCCGAGCGCGCAUUCUGGUACCCGAAAGAUGGUGAUCUAUGCCUGGCCAGGAUGAAGCCAGAGGAAACUCUGGUGGAGGUCCGUAGCGAUUCUGACGUGCAAAUCGAUCGUCGGAGCU
rnacentral:rRNA from 1 species